rnacentral:rRNA from 1 species
UACAGAGGUGGCAAGCGUUGUUCGGAAUUACUGGGCGUAAAGCGCGCGUAGGCGGCUUUGUAAGUUAGAGGUGAAAGCCCGGAGCUCAACUCCGGAAUAGCCUUUAAGACUGCAUCGCUAGAACGUUGGAGAGGUAAGUGGAAUUCCGAGUGUAGAGGUGAAAUUCGUAGAUAUUCGGAAGAACACCAGUGGCGAAGGCGACUUACUGGACAACUGUUGACGCUGAGGCGCGAAAGCCAGGGGAGCAAACGGG